rnacentral:lncRNA from 13 species
UGUAUGUAUAUUUAUGUAUGUAUGACAUAAUUUCGCUUACCGUUCUUUAUUGAUUUUUUUGUAUGGCAUGAGAAAGACAAUAUUCCAAACUGUAGUUCUCCAGUAAUUGUGCAUGACACAGCAGCAAUCCAGAAUUCCUCAUGUAUCCCAUUGUAAAACAUAAAGCUAUCUGAGAAUUGAGACACAAUUAACCCACCAUGGAACCUCUAUAUUGACACAUAAGGUUAACUUAUAAUAGAAACAGCUAAGCCAAUAGAAAGUGAAAUGGAAUUCAGAGAGCCUGCCACACGAUCAAAACCCAAGGUCCUUGAGGAAUCGCCACACUGUCUUCCCUUUUAUAACUUCUUCCAGCCAUGUAUUCCAGUCAGUGUCAAAUGGCAUUGUGGCAAUGGGGUUGCUGCUGCCCCACCAAACCUGCAAUCUCUCAGGAAAAGCUUGAAGAUGGGCCAUCACUUCUGCUCUAGCAUUUCAAGAAAAACCUCAUUUCCCUUGCUUGCCUGUUUAUGUCUCACUCCCAUGCCUGAGACAAGCCUUGGAAUCUGAAGCAACAUGAUGGAACAGUUAAUUCUGGACACGUUCAUUUUCUCUGAGCCAGAGACAGGAAGAGUGUCAAGUGUGUGGGAAGAGUGUAAGGGAUAAAUAAAAAAAGUAAAGUUUUGAAACUGUUUAGUCCU